rnacentral:lncRNA from 1 species
GACGGCGUGGAGGGCUGGAUCUCUCUCUGGGGGAGGGCGGGAAAAAAAAUUGGGUUUUAGGUUUUAAUUUAAAAAUGAAUAAAUAAAUGAAGCUGACCUGAAAAGUAACGCCGGGGAUUUUGGGGGGCAGCAAACAGUUUUCCUAAGCAAGAGGCAGAGGCGCUGAAGCGGAGGGCUCGGAGGGGCAGGUUACCACAGAGGUUUGGGAGGGGGAUGUUUGGCCAGGGCAAGGAGGGGAGCAGGGGAGCGGGGGCACCCCCAGCCCCCCGUGCCUGCUCUCCUGAAACCCUGUCCCGAUUCCUUUCCAGGGUACGCCGCCUGGCCGGGCCGCCGGCUGCCCUGCAGCUGGGCCGAGCAGCGCGCUUCUCUCCGGACGUAACAUGCCAGGUUCUCCUCCGCCAAGUGACGCACAGGUCGGGCCCCGGCUCAGUUUUUGCAGAGCGGAGACGCUGCGUGGGAUUAUCCCCUCCGCCCCCUAAAAUAGCGAUCUUUCAGACCCGUUAGCACACUCUAAAGGAGAAAAAUCCAGAGCUGCUGGUCCUUGCUUCACCAAGAGGAACUGUUGUUGAAUGUUAGGAAACAAAAUCUAUGGAUCUGUGGAUCUGUCCCUUAGAGAUAACUACAGCUGCAAGAACUGCACUUCUGAAAGCAGCUUACAUCUGAAUGUCCAAACCAUGACCUUACCCAAAGAUCCAAGAGUGGCAGAUUUUGCAGAGCAAGGAGCAAUGGAUUCCUCUUUCCGUGUUGGCUUUGGCUGGAGGUUUUACACAAUUCCACAUCUGCAGCCUGAACCAUCGCUGCCUCUGUGCUGGCACUCCUGGGACUGCUGUGGAAUACAAGUCACUGGCAGUGCUUCAAAAACAUAGAGGUGGAAAAUGAGAAAUUUAGCUUGAUAUCCUGUCCUCUCUAUCAUCAUUCUCAUUAGAUAGCAAGAGCAUGAAGUUCCGGGAGAAUACUGCAUUUGACAGAAUGUUGCUGUUCGUGUAAGCUAUUCAUUCGCUUCAAAUACGUGUGAGUAAUAUUAUACAGAAAGGUAUUUUCUUACCCCAAAUGCUGCUUAUUCUA